rnacentral:rRNA from 1 species
UCCUGUACUUGGUGUUACUGCGAAGGGGGGACGGAGAAGGCUAUGUUGGCCGGGCGACGGUUGUCCCGGUUUAAGCGUGUAGGCUGGUUUUCCAGGCAAAUCCGGAAAAUCAAGGCUGAGGCGUGAUGACGAGGCACUACGGUGCUGAAGCAACAAAUGCCCUGCUUCCAGGAAAAGCCUCUAAGCAUCAGGUAACAUCAAAUCGUACCCCAAACCGACACAGGUGGUCAGGUAGAGAAUACCAAGGCGCUUGAGAGAACUCGGGUGAAGGAACUAGGCAAAAUGGUGCCGUAACUUCGGGAGAAGGCACGCUGAUAUGUAGGUGAGGUCCCUCGCGGAUGGAGCUGAAAUCAGUCGAAGAUACCAGCUGGCUGCAACUGUUUAUUAAAAACACAGCACUGUGCAAACACGAAAGUGGACGUAUACGGUGUGACGCCUGCCCGGUGCCGGAAGGUUAAUUGAUGGGGUUAGCGCAAGCGAAGCUCUUGAUCGAAGCCCCGGUAAACGGCGGCCGUAACUAUAACGGUCCUAAGGUAGCGAAAUUCCUUGUCGGGUAAGUUCCGACCUGCACGAAUGGCGUAAUGAUGGCCAGGCUGUCUCCACCCGAGACUCAGUGAAAUUGAACUCGCUGUGAAGAUGCAGUGUACCCGCGGCAAGACGGAAAGACCCCGUGAACCUUUACUAUAGCUUGACACUGAACAUUGAGCCUUGAUGUGUAGGAUAGGUGGGAGGCUUAGAAGUGUGGACGCCAGUCUGCAUGGAGCCGACCUUGAAAUACCACCCUUUAAUGUUUGAUGUUCUAACGUUGACCCGUAAUCCGGGUUGCGGACAGUGUCUGGUGGGUAGUUUGACUGGGGCGGUCUCCUCCUAAAGAGUAACGGAGGAGCACGAAGGUUGGCUAAUCCUGGUCGGACAUCAGGAGGUUAGUGCAAUGGCAUAAGCCAGCUUGACUGCGAGCGUGACGGCGCGAGCAGGUGCGAAAGCAGGUCAUAGUGAUCCGGUGGUUCUGAAUGGAAGGGCCAUCGCUCAACGGAUAAAAGGUACUCCGGGGAUAACAGGCUGAUACCGCCCAAGAGUUCAUAUCGACGGCGGUGUUUGGCACCUCGAUGUCGGCUCAUCACAUCCUGGGGCUGAAGUAGGUCCCAAGGGUAUGGCUGUUCGCCAUUUAAAGUGGUACGCGAGCUGGGUUUAGAACGUCGUGAGACAGUUCGGUCCCUAUCUGCCGUGGGCGCUGGAGAACUGAGGGGGGCUGCUCCUAGUACGAGAGGACCGGAGUGGACGCAUCACUGGUGUUCGGGUUGUCAUGCCAAUGGCACUGCCCGGUAGCUAAAUGCGGAAGAGAUAAGUGCUGAAAGCAUCUAAGCACGAAACUUGCC